GGUUUUGGGGGGGGGGGGGGGGGGGGGGGAGAGGGUGGAUGAUUUGGUCAUGUAAAACAUCGAUUUGUCUGGUGUUUGGAGCAAUGUGAUCCAUAACCAUGAGGGCUUGCUCUCUACAGGCGUGUCCAUCCUUCUCUGGUUGCAAUUUGCUUCUCCCAUCUUUGGUGGUUCUGCUUCCCUUUUCGUGGGCUACAUGGUAAACACCCAGGAGAUGAUUGAGAAGGGCACACCUUGGUGAUCUGGGAUCUGGACUACGUGAAGCUUUCCCUAACCCUUUUCACUGAUUUCAUUGCUGUUUUAUUCGCACACUCAUAGUCAGAGUAAUUUUGUCUCUAACCAGCUUAGAAUACCAGCUUUCCUUUUAAAGGGUCCUUCCCCGUUUUCGUUGUACAAUCUUCCAGUACAAUCUUCGUACUAUGCUAUCUCAGCAGAAAAACCCACCUAGGGAUUUGCAACCUCCGCCGCUACAGCCACAACUAGCUUCAAAUCAUGGUCAGGCUCAACCCGAUAAGCAUCCAUUCUCUAUAAGACUAUUACAAGAUUAGAUGUAUCGCCUGGAAGUGUCUCUCGUUACAAAAAUGUAGAACAAGAACAAGGCUGGGAAAGUGUUCUUUUACUGCAUCAGGCCACAGUUUGUGACGGCUACGAAUCCUCUUUCUGCCACGACAGCUUUCUUGUCUCCUGUCAGCAUGAUUGGCUGAGACCUUCUAAAGCUGUGUUCUUUAAGAUUCGGAGGCUUGACAUGUUUCAAAAGAAGAUGGAGAGAGAGACAUCAUGGUUAGAAGAAGAGGAGUCUGUAUGACAUAUUAGAAUCUGCUUCUUCUUGGCCCCUUGGCUGGUAUGCUUAAAUAGACUCAGCCGUGUAUGCUUGAGCUAUUAGUUAAUUUUCUGCUGCUGAUGUUUUUCUGUUUGAAAAAGUAUACAAGAUAGAUUUCGGUGAAUGCAGAAGUGAUAGGUGCAUUGUUUUGUCGUGUCACUAUAUUGUCCUUGCGAUUUGAAAGAAGUGGUCAUUAUAUGUUUGUCGGAAGGUUUAAGGCUAUGUGUAUAAGAUUGCACAUUAAAGUUUUGUUAUGCACUUAUGCCUGCAGAUUUGUAAACAAAAGGAAAAAAG